rnacentral:rRNA from 1 species
UACAGAGGUGGCAAGCGUUGUUCGGAAUUACUGGGCGUAAAGGGCGCGUAGGCGGUCUUGUAAGUCUUGUGUGAAAUCCCUCGGCUUAACUGAGGAACUGCACGGGAUACUGCGAGACUUGAGAUCGGGAGAGGGAAGCGGAAUUCCGGGUGUAGCGGUGAAAUGCGCAGAUAUCAGGAAGAACACCCGUGGCGAAGGCGGCUCUCUGGGACGGUACUGACGGCUGAGACGCGAAAGCGUGGGAGCGAACAGGAUUAGAAACCCUUGGUAA